CAACAUCCAAAGUCUGGUGAAUAGUGCCUACCAGGUUUUUAUUAAAAAAAUAUUAAUUUUUUUGGUUUACCUUUCUUCUCAGAGUGGAAAGUUGAGCCCAACUUGUUUUAGGCAGCACUUCAUUACAGAAGGAGACUUUUGGAAAGGGCUGAAAGUCUAUCUGCUUAAAGUCUACAGGGGCCUGUUGCACAAAAGUAGAAUUAAGACAUCCAGGCUAAAUGACUGAGCUGAGCUCAAUGAAGCCAAAACAAGUGCGUCCAGGCUUAAUUGGUUGCACAAAGACCAAGCCAGGAUGAUCAGACACGGAUUCAUCAAGCCAGGUGAAACCAAUCCUGGAUAGGUGCGCGCUCACGGAUCACUCAACUAGACCCCGCCACCGAUCACAGAUUCACCGAUUCACCAUGGCAACUAGAGCGGCGUUCUUUUCCCCGUCAGAGGCACAAAUCCAUACGAGGGGGUAAAAUACAUAAUUAAGAAGAAAGGCAACACCGCCACAGUGAUAAAGCAAAGAGAAAAAGCGUGGCAAAGUAUUGCAGACUGCCCGAAUGCAUAAGUAGUGCACAAUUACACACUCACCGCUCUGCUGAAACAUCACAAUUACAAUUAAAAUAUUUAAUUCACAUCUCCAAAAACGCAAUUGUACUCUGAUAAUAAAACAGUUCAUUUUUUUAUUGAAAUGGACUUCAAAUAUGAGUAAAAUUGUGUAAAGUAACUCCAUCACACUGGAUAAGGCUUCAAUAAAUUAUAAUGAAAGCCUUACAUUAUUACUACGCUCAUUAUGUACUCUGCUUCUUAUGUUGUCCACCGUUGACUUUUUUCUGCUUUUAUUAAUGUAAAGCUGCUUUGAAACAAUUGUGAAAAGCGCUUUAUAAAUAAAAUUUAAUUGAAUAAAUAGAUGAGCUAUUAAUAAUAAUCAAUUUAAUUUAUAAAGCGCCUUUCAAAGGAUCCAAGGCCACUUGCUCAUUGCACUGCAAAAAAUGACUUUCUUCGUGUUUUUGUCUUGCUUUCAGUAAAAAUAUUAAAAGAUUCUUAAAUUAAGAUGUAUUAAACAUUUACUUGAAAUAUACUUUUUCAUAAACAAUUAUUUUAAAACAAAUUUUCAUAUUCCAUUGGCUGAUUUUUUUCCCUUAUUUUCCUAGGUCAUUUUGCUCAUCAAGAAAAUACAUCUUAAUUUAAGAAUUUUUUUAUAUUUUUACUGAAAAAAGGACAAAAAUAAAAAGUAAGUCAUUUUUUUGCAGUGUGACUCCAUUGAAUGUUCUUGUGUGAUAAAGAGAGUCUCUCUUUUUGUGUGUGGUGUGUGUGUGUGAUGUAGAUUAAAUAUGACCGGGCCAAAAUGGACAUGGCAGCAGGUCAAAAUCCAAUACAAGAACAUUCUGCAGAAUGCAGUGAAAAAGAAUACCCAGAGACAAGGCACGGGUGGUGGGUCACCAAAAGCUGACCUCACCCCAGCAGAGGCCAGCUUUGGAGCUAAAUGGCAGGCCUGUUGGAGGGGAUCCCUGGGGGAAAAGAGACAAGCAUAGGUCCCUCCCAAGAUGCCACCCGCUUCAUACAAGUGUCUGGCAGCACUGUGUUACUGUUAGAGCCACCAGCACGAGCACCAGACGAUGCUGAUCCAGUGAGUACUCAAUCAAAGGCAUACUGUAGGCCUGGCAUGUCUUGUCUACUAGCUUCAAUAUGAAUCAGAUUAAAUGUGAUAGGGUCAAGGCCCCAUUUCAUCAGCACAUAACGGCGAUGAUGAUUAGGAGACCAUCUCUCUGGAUUCCAUAAGGCAUAAGGACCCAGUGUCAUUGGUGCACUGGACUGCACACACAUAAGGAUAAAAGCCCCCUCAGGUGCCCAUGAGGCAGAUUUUGUAAAUAUGAAAUCUUUUCACAGCAUUAAUGUUCAGGUGAACAUAACGUUUUGAUCUUUUCCAUUGAACACUGGCAAAAUGGCCUGGCUCAGUCCAUGACUGCAGAAUCUUUCAGACCUCUGAAAUCUAUCAGCGCCUAUCAUAAGGUGAAUUCUCUGGUGUGUUGUUGGGAGACAACAUGGCUGCCAGCCUUUUUUCCUGACACCUUUCACAGACCCCCAGGAAGCACAACAGGCCUACAAUUAUGCCCAUGCCAGGACAAGGCCCAGAGUUGAAAUGACCUUUGGCCUCCUGAAGGCACGCUCUCACUGCCUUCACAAAUUUAGGGUCAGCCCUGUGAGGGCAUGUGACUUUACUGUGGCUUGUGCUGUCCUCCACAAUGUGGCCUGCCUGAGGAAGGAGAGGGCAUUUGUCCUGCAUUUAUUUCAGUGUGCAGACAUGCAGAGUGUGUUAUAUACAGACCUUUGAAUGUGUAUUUAUCCUUUGGUUGUAUAAUAUGCUUUGAUUCUGUGAUUUCCAUCUUGUAGAGUCACUGUGUGACUUCAGUUUGGAAAGGAGCUGAUGGUUUACCUGCUUUGUUUUGUCCUUAUUCAAUAAAGAAACAUAAUGUUACACU